ACACCUCAACUCUCAUGGUUUGCCAUGAUGAGCUUGGACUUUGGGGGUCUUGCUGGCCUGCAGUCAGCUCCUCUCAAAUGAAUCAGCUUUCCAGUGUUUGGCAGCAUCACAGGUGUGAUAACUAUCUACGCUUGUGGUUUUCUGCCAGGUAACCUUCAGCAAUGCGGGUUCGCUGGGGCUCAUAAAUGUCUCUCCUCGGUGAAGACAGCUUUGUGAAC
rnacentral:misc_RNA from 1 species